AAAGUGCGACAAGUGUCAUGACUUGCAGAUACCCGAGAGCUGACAAAUUUCUGAAUGCAAAUUGCAGCCAAGUUAACCUGGCUAUACAUUGCAGAGAGUACUUCGCGUAUGCGCUUACUCCAGAGUUGAGCACAACCUUUGGUUGUCACUACUGGGACCUGCAAGCUUGAGCCAUGUUUGACAUUUGCCCAAAAGGCAAGUGACCGGGCUCUCACUUGUUAAAGUCAGAAAACCAUCGAGUUUUCCUGAACUUAUCUGAGAAAAAGAGUUUAACCUCUUACCUCUCAUCUCUCACCUCUGCAAUGUAGGAGAACCCGCUGAACUUAA
rnacentral:misc_RNA from 1 species